rnacentral:rRNA from 1 species
UGACGCGCCGAUAUUCAUGGUGGACACACCUGUUCCCAUCCCGCACACAGCAGUUAAGCACUAUAAAGCCGAAGGUAGCAAUCGAAUGUCAGAAUAGGUCGUGCGUCGC